rnacentral:rRNA from 1 species
ACGAACGCUGGCGGCGUGCUUAACACAUGCCAGUCGAACGGAAAGGCCUCUUUCGGGGGGUACUCGAGUGGCGAACGGGUGAGUAACACGUGAGUAACCUGCCCUUGACUUUGGGAUAACUUCAGGAAACUGGGGCUAAUACCGGAUAGGAGCUCCUGCUGCAUGGUGGGGGUUGGAAAGUUUCGGCGGUUGGGGAUGGACUCGCGGCUUAUCAGCUUGUUGGUGGGGUAGUGGCUUACCAAGGCUUUGACGGGUAGCCGGCCUGAGAGGGUGACCGGCCACAUUGGGACUGAGAUACGGCCCAGACGCCUACGGGAGGCAGCAGUGGGGAAUAUUGCACAAUGGGUGGAAGCCUGAUGCAGCAACGCCGUGUGCGGGAUGACGGCCUUCGGGUUGGAAACCGCUUUCGCUCAUGACGAAGCUUUGUGUGACGGUAGUGGGUAAAGAAGCACCGGCUAACUACGUG